rnacentral:rRNA from 2 species
UACGUAGGUGGCAAGCGUUGUCCGGAUUUAUUGGGUUUAAAGGGUGCGUAGGCGGCGAUCUAAGUCAGUGCUGAAAUAUCCCGGCUUAACCGGGAGGGUGGCAUUGAUACUGGGUUGCUUGAGUAAAGUUGAGGUAGGCGGAAUUGACGGUGUAGCGGUGAAAUGCUUAGAUAUCGUCAAGAACACCAAUAGUGAAGACAGCUUACUAAACUUUAACUGACGCUGAGGCACGAAAGUGUGGGGAUCAAACAGG